rnacentral:tRNA from 1 species
GAAGGUAUGGCUCAGUAGUAGAGCUCAUGCUUACCAUGCAUGAGGUCCUGGGUUCAAUCCUCAGUACCUUCA